UUGCUCAGCACUGACUGGAUGGGGUUAACAGUGACCACUAAUGAAGGAGCUCUGCUACCUGUCUGAGCAGUGCUCCAGUCUUUGUUGCUGCGUUAUGAAUGCACUGCUCCUCCUGCCACAUUUCUUCACGCCCUCGGUUGUUAUCUGAGCAGUGGUAGCCCCCACGAGCGAUGCAGUCAGUGCCUGCUUGCUCCAGGUGCUCCAUAAGCACAGCAGAAGGAUGCCAGGGGGCUUGCAGGCAGUGUGUGCAUGCUGUUGCUCUCUCCAAGAAGCCCCUGUUUUGGCUAGCUGCAGAAGAAACCAUUUUUUCCUUGGUCGGAUCCUUGCAAACGCAGUGCAAGUGUACAGAACGGUACGGUGUCUAGCUGUCUUUUCGCAGUACGUGCAAUGAGGUUAUCUAUUUUUCAGGCAGAGAAGUGCGUCCAGGCAGUUUGGAGAACUGCUGGCUCAGGCUUCACCUCCACUAAUCCAAGUUCAGUCACUUUCCUCUGAAGAACCUGCAUCAAGCCGUGGUUUUAAGCUGCAGAUGGAGUUCUUCUCGCAGGACUGAAGUGCUGAAGCUCUCUGAGCUCCGAAGGCACCCUGAACUCAUGAGGCUUUUUCUUGGUUGGCAACGUGCUUAAAAAAGAAAGAAAUGCAAAUGGGCAUUUCCACGUGACUGUAUUCUGCUCAGUGCAGUGUCUGCCUGUGUUGCAGACUGAGCUCCGUGGCAUUGCAAAGAAUGCACCAAAGGUUCCCGUAUUUCUAGCGGUUGUCAGGGCGGUGGCUCAUGACAUCGUAAGGCCGUGGCGAUGUGACGGUAAGAAUGUCCCAUGUCAAGUACAAGAUGGCUGUGUGGGACGAGGGGAAGCCAUGGCCUGACAGCUGCCCUUCUGGUCAGCAGUGGAAUUCUGCGGGGUCCAUUAGAAGGCCAUUUCUCUGUAAUGCUUUCUCUGUUGGUUCCAGUCAAGAUGUGGCCGUUGUAUGAAGUAAGUUUGUGGUUGCUGUGAAGCUGGGAGGAAUGUUGACUGCCUUGGGGGUUGAGAGGCCUUGCAGCAAGAUGUGGAGAAAUGUGAGGGUGGUCCCCAUCUGCACGAAGAAGAGCAAGCGCUGCGUUCUGCACCUGGGAUGCGGCAGCCCUGGCUGUACGUACAGCGUGGGGGGGGCGAGGGGCUGGAGAUCAGCCCUGCCAAAAGGGAGGGAUCUGGGCGUUGUGGUUGCUGACAACUUGAAUCUGAGCUGGCAGUGUGCCCUGGGCACAGGGUUUGAGUUUGGGUGGUCCUUUGGGGAGCCAGGGGUUGGACUUGAUGGUCCCUGUGUCCUUUAAGAAGGCCGAAUAGUCUUUCAGUGAUUGUUCUGGGCAGCUCACACCACUGGGUGUAUAAUUCAUUUCACUUGGAAUUUCAGGGUCAGACAUAAAUGUUAUUAUCUGCUUUAGAGAAAGAAGUGGGAGGCUGAACUGAUAUUUGGAAAAAUGAAAAAUGUUUAAAAUGUUUUUUGCAAGAUAAGCCCUCAGCAAACAGUCGUCCUGUUCCACUUUUGGCCAGUCUCAGAUGCUUGUCUUCCAGAAUGUCUGCGUGUGGAUGAAUCACAACAGGAUCCUGGGAACUUUUAAGAAAGGAAAGAUUGCUUCACGUGUAAUGAAAAGCUAGUGUCCAGAAGAUCACUGCGGCCAGAUGCCAAUUUUGAUGCCCUCGUCAGUAAGACUUGUCCAAGCCCUGAUGUAUGUGAAACUCAUCAGGAGGGAAUGCUGGCAAGAAUCAGCUAACACAGUAGCAGCAAGCUUUCAGUGACAGCGUUAAGGAAGGGUGACGAUUCAGGCUGGGAGCAGGUAUGUCAUCACCUGACUUGACCACAUGUAACUUGAUGCUAGAAAUACACCACGUCCUCCCUCCCUGCAUGGCAAGAGAUGGCUCUCUUCUCCUGCAAAGGCAGCCGAAGUAACUUCUGUGUGCUGACUAGAGAGAGAAAACUUGGUGUCACUCCUUGCAAGUCCUGUGGCAGCCAGAUAUUGUGUGAUGAGAGUUGCUGUCUAUUUACUGUGUUUGGUUUCUUUGCUUUGCCAUGCUGUACACGAGUAAAGGAAAUGAAUGGAAUACGA